GAUCCUGGCUCAGGAUGAACGCUAGCGACAGGCUUAACACAUGCAAGUCGAGGGGCAGCACAGGUAGCAAUACCGGGUGGCGACCGGCGCACGGGUGAGUAACGCGUAUGCAACUUGCCUAUCAGAGGGGGAUAACCCGGCGAAAGUCGGACUAAUACCGCAUGAAGCAGGGGCCCCGCAUGGGAGUAUUUGUCUAAAGUAAAUUCUAUCGCUGAUAGAGUAGGCGAUGCGUUCCU
rnacentral:rRNA from 1 species